rnacentral:misc_RNA from 1 species
AAAGUCGUAACAAGGUUUCCGUAGGUGAACCUGCGGAAGGAUCAUUACAGUGUGGGGGGAGAGGGGGGGAGAGAGGAUGAGUUGAAAUGUGGGGUGAGGGAUGGGGAGGGAUAAAGAGGGAGAACAGUGUUUACUCGCUGUGUCACUCACUGCGUCACUUUUCACCCUCUCUAGUCAUACUUUGGCCACAUUUUACACCACACACCAUUUACAACUUAUAACAAUGGAUCUCUGGGCUCUU